GCCUGGAUAGCUCAGUUGGUUAGAGCAUAGUGCUGUUGGUUAGAGCAUAGUGCUGUUAAUGCCAAGGUUGCAGGAUCGAUCCCCAUAUGGGACA